rnacentral:rRNA from 1 species
GGAUGAGAAUAUUCGACAAUGGACGAAAGUCUGAUCGAGUGACACCGCGUGAUUGAUGAAGUCCCUAUGGGACGUAAAGAUCUUUUAUGAGGGAGGAAGUUUAUUGACGUUACCUCAUGAAUAAGGAGCUCCUAAUCUCGUGCCAGCAGGAGCGGUAAUACGAGAGCUUCGAGCGUUAUCCGGAAUUAUUGGGCGUAAAGGGUGCGUAGGUUGCAAUGUUAGUCUUUUGUCAAAUCCUUGUGCUUAACAU